rnacentral:rRNA from 1 species
UACAGAGGUGGCAAGCGUUGUUCGGAAUUACUGGGCGUAAAGGGCGCGUAGGCGGCCUUCUAAGUCAGACGUGAAAUCCCCCGGCUCAACCUGGGAACUGCGUCUGAUACUGGAGGACUUGAGUGCGGGAGAGGGAUGUGGAAUUCCAGGUGUAGCGGUGAAAUGCGUAGAUAUCUGGAGGAACACCGGUGGCGAAGGCGGCAUCCUGGACCGACACUGACGCUGAGGAGCGAAAGCUAGGGUAGCAAACGGG